UUUUUUUUUUUUUUUUUUUUUUUUUUUUUGGGCUCUGUCUGGGUUUAUCAAUGGCAAAUGGCAUGAGUCAUGUGGCAUGGGGGAGGUGGCGAUUUAUCUGUUCUUCAAUUGUAACUAUUCAUACACCUCUCAACCUUUAAAUAUUCCGAGGACUGUUGACUUUUCCGUUAACAAUCAGCUUUAGCUCUUACUUAAAACUUUUCAGAAGCUUUAACUUUUGUUUUUGCUUUAAAAUUACACAGAAAUUAAGUAUUUUUUUCUAUAACUCACAAUUGAUAUUUCCACAGAUUUCAAUGUACCCUACCUCAAGAAAUUUCAUGACAUUUUCGUUGCUUUUCUAUUUAACUUUUUGUAAAUCACCUUUUCCUGCCUUUGCACUUUUUCGCCACUUUAAACAAUAUAUGUUUCCACACUUUUUUUA